rnacentral:rRNA from 1 species
CCGCUGAACUUAAGCAUAUCAAUAAGCGGAGGAAAAGAAACCAACAGGGAUUGCCCUAGUAACGGCGAGUGAAGCGGCAACAGCUCAAAUUUGAAAUCUGGCCUCGGCCCGAGUUGUAAUUUGCAGAGGAUGUUUCUGGCGCGGUGCCUUCCGAGUUCCCUGGAACGGGACGCCACAGAGGGUGAGAGCCCCGUAUGGUUGGACACCAAGCCUGUGUGAAACUCCUUCGACGAGUCGAGUAGUUUGGGAAUGCUGCUCUAAAUGGGAGGUAAAUCUCUUCUAAAGCUAAAUACCGGCCAGAGACCGAUAGCGCACAAGUAGAGUGAUCGAAAGAUGAAAAGCACCUUGAAAAGGGGGUUAAACAGUACGUGAAAUUGUUGAAAGGGAAGCGCUCAUGACCAGACUUGUGCCGGGCGGUUCAUCCGGGGUUCUCCCCGGUGCACUCCGCCCGGCUCAGGCCAGCAUCGGUUCUCGUUGGGGGAUAAGAACGGUAGGAACGUGGCCCUCCCUCGGGAGGGUGUUAUAGCCUGCCGUACGAUACCCUGAUGGGGACCGAGGUUCGCGCUCCGCAAGGAUGCUGGCGUAAUGGUCAUCAGCGACCCGUCUUGAAACACGGACCAAGGAGUCGUCCAUUAGAGCGAGCGUUUGGGUGUAAAACCCGCACGCGUAAUGAAAGUGAAAUUAGGUGAGAGCUUCGGCGCAUCAUCGACCGAUCCUGAUGUUCUCGGAUGGAUUUGAGUAAGAGUUUUAACGGACGGACCCGAAAGACAGUGAACUAUGCUUGUAUAGGGUGAAGCCAGAGGAAACUCUGGUGGAGGCUCGCAGCGGUUCUGACGUGCAAAUCGAUCGUCAAAUAUGAGCAUGGGGGCGAAAGACUAAUCGAACUGUCUAGUAGCUGGU